AAUUAGCAGCACAAGAGGUACCCGGAACUAUAUCGUCACUGAAGCUGUCAUUCAUGGAGAUGAACGAUCUAACCAGCCAGCUAAAGAAAAUUAGGCACAUUUUCACAACAAAUAGAUCUGGGAAGGAUAGAUGACUAAUGUGGCAGCAUGAUCACGGACUGGAUUCCAAAACAGGGACGUGUGUGAAUUCUUUAAUCUGUAGCGAUGUCUUAAUUGUUAGUACGUGCUACUUUGUUAGAUUAUUACUUGUGCCUCGAUUUCUUGACCAUGUGAUGCAUGUUGUCAGUAUUGCUGGACACUGUAGAAACAUGCGCCUGAUAAUUGCUGUGGUGCCCAA